CCUCCUCCCUGGCUUGGCCUGAUGGAUCCCGGGUCAAAGAACAAGAGCAGAGGUCAUCAAAAGGUCAAGUCUAAUCUACCUACAGAUGUGGCAGGCUUAGCUAUGGAUGUUCAAGCCAGACAUUGCCAGGAGAACCACAUCUCUUCACCCAUAGCAUGGACUGUAGGAGAAAGCCCAGAGGAGCAAUGAAGACAAAGAAGACAUGACACCUGCAAAAAGUCAGUGGAGUAUUUCUACAUAAGAAACAUUCCAGGUGAGUUACAGUCAGUAUCUUCCACUGCUCCAGCUCUCGCAAUGAACCUAGAACCUGCCCAGGGUAAGCCGGAAGACCACACCCCGCUAGUCCACUCCCUGCCCGGAGCCGGUUUGUGCAGGGUGACUGCCAUCAAGCAGACAAUGGACUCAGGAUGCAGUGUGUGCCUUUGGGGAGGCUGGCAGAGAGGCACAAAGUGGAACACCAGCUAAGUGCACACACCUGAGAGGCGGAAUUCCAGGUGGAGACUCAAAAUGUACUAAGAAACUGUGUGAAGUGAAGGAAGCUACUCGACCUCUCUGAUCCUCAGUGUCCCCUCCUGUAAAAUGGGGAUCACAGGCCUACUUCAUAGAGCUGUUGGGGAAGAUACAUAAAAGUUCCUGUGACAGGCAGUGUCCACAUUAUUAACAAAGUCAUAUUCGACUUCCAAAUAAUUGAUGAAAAGUAUAAUGUUAAUGAAACCAAAGACGAGCUACCCAGCUUCAGAAGCAGCACCA